rnacentral:rRNA from 1 species
GACCUCAAAUCAGGUAGGACUACCCGCUGAACUUAAGCAUAUCAAUAAGCGGAGGAAAAGAAACUAACAAGGAUUCCCCUAGUAACUGCGAGUGAAGCGGGAAAAGCUCAAAUUUGAAAUCUGG